rnacentral:rRNA from 1 species
GAUCAUGGUUCAGGAUGAACGCUAGCUACAGGCUUAACACAUGCAAGUCGAGGGGCAGCAUGAACUUAGCUUGCUAAGUUUGAUGGCGACCGGCGCACGGGUGAGUAACACGUAUCCAACCUGCCGAUGACUCGGGGAUAGCCUUUCGAAAGAAAGAUUAAUACCCGAUGGCAUAGUUCUUCCGCAUGGUAGGACUAUUAAAGAAUUUCGGUCAUCGAUGGGGAUGCGUUCCAUUAGG